GAGGAAAGAGGGAGGCGUGCCUAAUACAUGCAAGUCGAGCGAACGGACGAGAAGCUUGCUUCUCUGAUGUUAGCGGCGGACGGGUGAGUAACACGUGGAUAACCUACCUAUAAGACUGGGAUAACUUCGGGAAACCGGAGCUAAUACCGGAUGAUAUUUUGAACCGCAUGGUUCAAAAGUGAAAGACGGUCUUGCUGCCACUUAUAGAUGGAUCCGCGCUGCAUUAGCUAGUUGGUAAGGUAACGGCUUACCAAGGCAACGAUGCAUAGCCGACCUGAGAGGGUGAUCGGCCACACUGGAACUGAGACACGGUCCAGACUCCUACGGGAGGCAGCAGUAGGGAAUCUUCCGCAAUGGGCGAAAGCCUGACGGAGCAACGCCGCGUGAGUGAUGAAGGUCUUCGGAUCGUAAAACUCUGUUAUUAGGGAAGAACAUAUGUGUAAGUAACUGUGCACAUCUUGACGGUACCUAAUCAGAAAGCCACGGCUAACUACGUG
rnacentral:rRNA from 1 species